UGGGCUGAUCAGAUUUUUGACACGCUCUCCACCCGGAAACGACACGUCAGCCCAAAGUCUGUCGUACGACGUCGCAUCGGGAGCUUAUAAAUCGAGUAAGAGUAACUUCACCAACUCGAGCGAGUGGAGAUGCCUAGCCACUUUGCCAGCUUAAAAGGCCAAAACACUGAUGGCAUCGGAAACGUGGCAGCAUCGUGUGCUGCCGACAGAUAUCAGUGUACGUGCUUUUUCGACCGUUUGCCUACGGUCCAAAUCGGGACCCACUUUCGGAUAAGAG
rnacentral:lncRNA from 1 species